GACGGAGGGUGCUAGCGUUGUUCGGAAUUACUGGGCGUAAAGGGCGCGUAGGCGGUUGGAUAAGUCAGCUGUGAAAACCACGGGCUUAACUCGUGGCCUGCAGUUGAGACUGUCUGGCUUGAGUGUGGGAGAGGAGAGUGGAAUUCCUGGUGUAGCGGUGAAAUGCGUAGAUAUCGGGAAGAACACCCGUGGCGAAGGCGGUUCUCUGGGACGGUACUGACGCUGAGACGCGAAAGCGUGGGGAGCGAACAGG
rnacentral:rRNA from 1 species